rnacentral:rRNA from 1 species
GAUGAACGCUAGCGGCAGGCCUAAUACAUGCAAGUCGAGCGGCAAGUCGAGGAGUAAUCUGAGACCUAGAGCGGCGUACGGGUGCGUAACGCGUAUGCAACCUACCUCAUACAGGGGGAUAGCCCGGAGAAAUCUGGAUUAAUACCCCAUGGUACAGCACGAGGGCAUCUGAGAGCUGUUAAAGAUUCAUCGGUAUGAGAUGGGCAUGCGUCUGAUUAGCUAGUUGGCGGUGUAACGGACCACCAAGGCGACGAUCAGUAGGGGUUCUGAGAGGAAGGUCCCCCACACUGGCACUGGGAUAAGGGCCAGACUCCUACGGGGGGCAGCAGUAGGGAAUAUUGGGCAAUGGUCGGAAGACUGACCCAGCCAUGCCGCGUGCAGGAAGAAGGCCUAUUGGGUUGUAAACUGCUUUUAUCUGGGAAGAAAAGGCCCGUGCGCGGGACAUUGCCGGUACCAGAUGAAUAAGCACCGGCUAACUCCGUGCCAGCAGCCGCCGUAAUAC